AAGACUAUAUUUUCAGGGAUCAUUUCUAUAGUUCACUACUAGAGAAGUUUUUCUGAUUAUGUAAAGCCUGGAAACCACGAGGAGGAGGAGAUGCAGUAUUCUCUUCUGAGCAUGAAGCCAGCUCUUGGUGUUGCUUCACUGCAACUGCCACUUGCCAUUGAUGAUCAUUCAGGGGAGCAAGAGAGAGAGGGCAUGGUCUGAGUGGU
rnacentral:snoRNA from 1 species